GACGAACGCUGGCGGCGUGCUUAACACAUGCAAGUCGAACGGAAAGGCCCUGCUUUUGUGGGGUGCUCGAGUGGCGAACGGGUGAGUAACACGUGAGUAACCUGCCCUUGACUUUGGGAUAACUUCAGGAAACUGGGGCUAAUACCGGAUAGGAGCUCCUGCUGCAUGGUGGGGGUUGGAAAGUUUCGGCGGUUGGGGAUGGACUCGCGGCUUAUCAGCUUGUUGGUGGGGUAGUGGCUUACCAAGGCUUUGACGGGUAGCCGGCCUGAGAGGGUGACCGGCCACAUUGGGACUGAGAUACGGCCCAGACUCCUACGGGAGGCAGCAGUGGGGAAUAUUGCACAAUGGGCGGAAGCCUGAUGCAGCAACGCCGCGUGCGGGAUGACGGCCUUCGGGUUGUAAACCGCUUUCGCCUGUGACGAAGCGUGAGUGACGGUAAUGGGUAAAGAAGCACCGGCUAACUACGUGCCAGCAGCCGCGGUGAUACGUAGGGUGCGAGCGUUGUCCGGAUUUAUUGGGCGUAAAGGGCUCGUAGGUGGUUGAUCGCGUCGGAAGUGUAAUCUUGGGGCUUAACCCUGAGCGUGCUUUCGAUACGGGUUGACUUGAGGAAGGUAGGGGAGAAUGGAAUUCCUGGUGGAGCGGUGGAAUGCGCAGAUAUCAGGAGGAACACCAGUGGCGAAGGCGGUUCUCUGGGCCUUUCCUGACGCUGAGGAGCGAAAGCGUGGGGAGCGAACAGGCUUAGAUACCCUGGUAGUCCACGCUGUAAACGGUGGGUACUAGGUGUGGGGUCCAUUCCACGGGUUCCGUGCCGUAGCUAACGCUUUAAGUACCCCGCCUGGGGAGUACGGCCGCAAGGCUAAAACUCAAAGGAAUUGACGGGGCCCCGCACAAGCGGCGGAGCAUGCGGAUUAAUUCGAUGCAACGCGUAGAACCUUACCUGGGUUUGACAUGGAUCGGGAGUGCUCAGAGAUGGGUGUGCCUCUUUUGGGGUCGGUUCACAGGUGGUGCAUGGCUGUCGUCAGCUCGUGUCGUGAGAUGUUGGGUUAAGUCCCGCAACGAGCGCAACCCUUGUUCACUGUUGCCAGCACGUUAUGGUGGGGACUCAGUGGAGACCGCCGGGGUCAACUCGGAGGAAGGUGGGGAUGACGGUCAAGUCAUCAUGCCCCUUAUGUCCAGGGCUUCACGCAUGCUACAAUGGCUGGUACAGAGAGUGGCGAGCCUGUGAGGGUGAGCGAAUCUCGGAAAGCCGGUCUCAGUUCGGAUUGGGGUCUGCAACUCGACCUCAUGAAGUCGGAGUCGCUAGUAAUCGCAGAUCAGCAACGCUGCGGUGAAUACGUUCCCGGG
rnacentral:rRNA from 1 species